rnacentral:rRNA from 1 species
ACUGAGACACGGACCUUACUCCUACGGGAGGCAGCAGUGGGGAAUAUUGUUCAAUGGACUAAAAGUCUGAAACAGCAAUGCCGCGUGGAUGAUGAAGGCCUUCGGGUUGUAAAGUCCUUUCGAUAGGGAAGAAGCAAUGACGGUACCUAGAGAAGAAGCCACGGCUAAUCACGUGCCAGCAGCCGCGGUAAGACGUGAGUGGCAAGCGUUAUCCGGAAUUACUGGGCGUAAAGAGCGCGUAGGCGGUCUUGAAAGUCAGAGGUGAAAAGUCAGGGCUUAACCUUGGCCUUGCCUUUGAAACUUCAAGACUAGAGUGUUGGAUAGGAGGGAGGAACUACCAGUGUAGCGGUGGAAUGCGUAGAUAUUGGUAGGAACGCCGAUGACGAAGGUAUCUCUCUGGACAAAGACUGACGCUGAGGUGCGAGAGCUAGGGGAGCAAACAGGAUUAGAUACCCUGGUAGUCCUAGCUGUAAACGAUGGAUACUGGGUGUGGGCAAUAGUAUUGUCUGUGCCGAAGCUAACGCGAUAAGUAUCCCGCCUGGGGAGUACGGCCGCAAGGUUGAAACUCAAAGAAAUUGACGGGGACCCGCACAAGCGGUGGAGCAUGUGGUUUAAUUCGACGCAACGCGAGGAACCUUACCAGGUCUUGACAUCCAGAAAAUCUUGCAGAGAUGUGAGAGUGCCGGCUUGCCGGAAUUCUGAGACAGGUGGUGCAUGGCUGUCGUCAGCUCGUGCCGUGAGGUGUUGGGUUAAGUCCCGCAACGAGCGCAACCCCUAUCGUAUGUUACCAUCAUUAAGUUGGGGACUCAUACGAGACUGCCUGCGAUGAGCAGGAGGAAGGUGGGGAUGACGUCAAGUCCUCAUGCCCUUUAUGACCAGGGCUACACACGUGCUACAAUGGGGGGUACAGAGAGAAGCGAAGUGGCGACAUGGAGCAAAACUCUGAAAGCCUCUCUUAGUUCAGAUUGCAGUCUGCAACUCGACUGCAUGAAGCUGGAAUCGCUAGUAAUCGCAAAUCAGCUAUGUUGCGGUGAAUACGUUCUCGGGUCUUGUACACACCGCCCGUCACACCACGAGAGUCUAUUGCACCUGAAGUAGCUGGCCUAACCCGUAAGGGGAGGAGGUUCCUAAGGUGUGGUAGGUGAUUGGGGUGAAGUCGUAACAAGGUAGCCGUACCGGAAGGUGUGGCUG